rnacentral:misc_RNA from 1 species
UCUCUGUAUCUCUCUCUCUCUCUAUUUGGUUAUCUCGCCAACCUCUCCUCCAAUUAUUUUCAACUGCCCUUAGUCCCCCAUUCAAUCUCCAACAAUCUUAAACCACCAGAAUAUCAGUAUAUUCUGGGCCUAUCUCUUGGGUGGUCUCUCUCUCUCAUUCCACGCCCACUACCCCAUUCUUUUCUGUUUGUUUCCAUAUUACCAAUGAACCAAACACCACUUUCAGCUAUAUAUUAAGGCUUAGAACUUUGAGAUUGAGAAGUUCUAUGGUCAAAGAAAACACCACCAAGCGAAUUGAUCCAAGAAAAGUGAGGCAAAGAGAUGGAUUUCCAAUGCGGUUUGAGGACAGUGGAAAAAGAGAAGAGGAGCUGUAGAAAAGAGGAAUCCAUUGGAG